AUGAUGGGCCAGUCCAUUCCGUCCAUGUACAGACAUCUCGUCCCAGAAGAACAGGUUCAACAGGGGGCGGGGCCAGCCGAAGAACCUGUGGCCAACCACGAGCUCCAGAACACCACCAACAUGAGCUGUGCCAUCUGUCUGAUGGACUACGUGGUUG